rnacentral:rRNA from 1 species
CCUACGGGAGGCAGCAGUGGGGAAUAUUGGACAAUGGGCGCAAGCCUGAUCCAGCCAUGCCGCGUGGGUGAAGAAGGCCUUCGGGUUGUAAAGCCCUUUUGUCCGGAAAGAAAAGCACGGGAUUAAUACCCUCGUGUGAUGACGUACCGGAAGAAUAGCCCCGC